rnacentral:tRNA from 2 species
GGAGGUGUCUGAGCGCCUGGUGGGCUCCCCCGCCUUCAAAGCGGGUGUACGGGGUGAUCCCUCGUAGGCGGGUUCGAUUCCCGUCCACCUCCGCCA